GUCACCCCAUUGAUCGCCAGGGUUGAUUCUGCUGAUCUGGCUGGCUAGGCGGGUGUCCCCUUCCUCCCUCACCUCUCCAUGUGUGUCCCUCCCGAAGCUGCGCACUUGGUCGAAGAGGACGACCAUCCCGGAUAGAGGAGGACCGGUCUUUGGUCAAGGAGAUAGGAAGAGCGUCCUGUAAGGAAAGAGG